rnacentral:rRNA from 1 species
UACGUUUCCUCGGUGGGUUCGCCCGCCGAUUGGACAAUUUAAACCCUUUGCAGUUGCAAUCAGCGUCUGAAAAACAUAAUAGUUACAACUUUCAACAACGGAUCUCUUGGUUCUGGCAUCGAUGAAGAACGCAGCGAAAUGCGAUAAGUAGUGUGAAUUGCAGAAUUCAGUGAAUCAUCGAAUCUUUGAACGCACAUUGCGCCCCUUGGUAUUCCAUGGGGCAUGCCUGUUCGAGCGUCAUUUGUACCUUCAAGCUUUGCUUGGUGUUGGGUGUUUGUCUCGCCUUUGCGUGUAGACUCGCCUUAAAACAAUUGGCAGCCGGCGUAUUGAUUUCGGAGCGCAGUACAUCUCGCGCUUUGCACUCAUAACGACGACGUCCAAAAGUACUUUUUUACACUCUUGACCUCGGAUCAGGUAGGGAUACCCGCU